rnacentral:rRNA from 1 species
UACGGGGGGGGCAAGCGUUGUUCGGAAUUACUGGGCGUAAAGGGCUCGUAGGUGGCCAACUAAGUCAGACGUGAAAUCCCUCGGCUUAACCGGGGAACUGCGUCUGAUACUGGAUGGCUUGAGUUCGGGAGAGGGAUGCGGAAUCCCAGGUGUAGCGGUGAAAUGCGCAGAUAUCAGGAGGAACACCAAUGGCGAAGGCAGCUCGCUGGGACGUGACUGACGCUGAGACGCGAAAGCGUGGGGAGCAAACAGG